AGAAAAGAUUAAUGAUUUCAGAAAAGAAAUGUUCAAAAUGACUAUAUUUAUUUGUCAUAUAAACUUCUACUUUUAUUUAAAUAUUAAUAAUGUAUGUUACACUUCAUUAAAAAACUCUGUUGCAAUUAUUUUGUGUUCUGUUUGCAAUUCUUGAAUCUAUAUUAUUGCUUUUGGAUAAUCAUAUGCAUCCAUAAAAGAAGCAAUAAACUCUUAGAAGAUCCAGCAACCUUGGGGACUAUUAUAGGACAGUUAAUUCCUAUAUAUAUUUAUUUAUUCAUAAGUUUCUAUAACAGAAAUCUUUGUUCAGCUCUUUAAGCAGGAUGGGGGG
rnacentral:lncRNA from 1 species